UAGCGUAUAUUAAAGUUGUUGCAGUUAAAAAGCUCGUAGUUGAAUUUCGGGGUCAGUAGGUCGGUCGUGCCAUUGGUAUGAACUGGUUUUACUGAUUCCUCCCUCUUGAAGAACUGUAAUGCCAUUAAUUUGGUGUUGCAGGGAAUCAGGACUGUUACUUUGAAAAAAUUAGAGUGUUUAAAGCAGGCA
rnacentral:rRNA from 1 species